rnacentral:rRNA from 1 species
UACGAAGGGGGCUAGCGUUGUUCGGAUUUACUGGGCGUAAAGCGCACGUAGGCGGAUCGUUAAGUCGGGGGUGAAAUCCUGGAGCUCAACUCCAGAACUGCCUUCGAUACUGGCGAUCUCGAGUCCGGAAGAGGUGAGUGGAACUCCUAGUGUAGAGGUGGAAUUCGUAGAUAUUAGGAAGAACACCAGUGGCGAAGGCGACUCACUGGUCCGGUACUGACGCUGAGGUGCGAAAGCAUGGGGAGCGAACAGG